GAUGAACGCUGGCGGCGUGCCUAAUACAUGCAAGUCGAGCGAGCAGACGAGGAGCUUGCUCCUCUGACGUUAGCGGCGGACGGGUGAGUAACACGUGGAUAACCUACCUAUAAGACGGGGAUAACUUCGGGAAACCGGAGCUAAUACCGGAUAAUAUAUUGAACCGCAUGGUUCAAUAGUGAAAGACGGUUUUGCGGUCACUUAUAGAUGGAUCCGCGCCGCAUUAGCUAGUUGGUAAGGUAACGGCUUACCAAGGCAACGAGGCGUAGCCGACCUGAGGGGCUGAUCGCCCACCCUGGAGCUGAGCCGCGGUCCAGACUCCUACGGGAGGCACCAGUAGGGAAUCUUCCGCAAUGGGCGAGAGCCUGACGGAGCAGCGCCGCGUGAGUGAUGAAGGUCUUCGGAUCGUAAAACUCUGUUAUUAGGGAAGAACAAAUGUGUAAGUAACUAUGCACGUAUUGACGGUACCUAAUCAGAAAGCCCCGGCUAACUACGUG
rnacentral:rRNA from 1 species